rnacentral:rRNA from 1 species
CGGGGUGAGUAAUGCUUGGGAAUCUAGCUUAUGGAGGGGGAGUAAUACGGGAAACUGUAGCUAAUACCGCGUAGUAUCGGAAGAUGAAAGUGUGGGACCUUCGGGCCACAUGCCAUAGGAUGAGCCCAAGUGGGAUUAGGUAGUUGGUGAGGUAAAGGCUCACCAAGCCGACGAUCUCUAGCUGGUCUGAGAGGAUGACCAGCCACACUGGGACUGAGACACGGCCCAG